rnacentral:rRNA from 1 species
UUGUGUAAAUAAAAGAUCUGGCCUGCCCAAUGAUAUUUUAAUGGCUGCAGUAUAUUGACUGUACAAAGGUAGCAUAAUCAUUUGUCCUUUAAUUGAGGUCUGGAAUGAAUGGUUGGAUGAAAAGUAUACUUUCUUUAUUUUAUGGGUAAAAUUUAAUUUUUGAAUUAAAAAGUUUAAAUGUUAAUAUAGGACGAGAAGACCCUAUAGAGCUUUAUUUUUUGGUAAUAAUUAUUUGUUUGUAAAUAAUUUUUUUUUAUUUUAGGAAAAAUUUCGUUGGGGUGACGGAAAAAAUUAAAUAACUUUUUCUAUAUUAUUUAUUUGUCUAUAAUUUUUUGACCCCUUAUUAGGGGUAAAAGAUCAAGUUACCUUAGGGAUAACAGCGUUAUUAUUCUAGAGAGUUCAUAUCAAUAGAAUAGUUUGCGACCUCGAUGUUGGAUUAAAAUUAGUUUCAGGGGCAGAAUAUUGAUUACUAGGUCUGUUCGACCUUUAAAUUUU